rnacentral:ribozyme from 1 species
GAAGAUUUCAAGAUCCAGCUGUUCAAGAAGAUAUUAAGCAUUUUCCAUUCAAAGUUUUAUGCAAGGAUGGUGACAAACCAGCUGUAGAAGUUAAAUUUAAGGGGGAAACAAAAGUUUUUGCUCCGGAAGAAAUU